rnacentral:piRNA from 1 species
UGCAAUGGACCAUNUAGACUAGAUGCUGCC